AUUGAACGCUGGCGGCAGGCCUAACACAUGCAAGUCGAACCGUAACAGGAAGAAGCUUGCUUCUUUGCUGACGAGUGGCGGACGGGUGAGUAAUGUCUGGGAAACUGCCUGAUGGAGGGGGAUAACUACUGGAAACGGUAGCUAAUACCGCAUAACGUCGCAAGACCAAAGAGGGGGACCUUCGGGCCUCUUGCCAUCGGAUGUGCCCAGAUGGGAUUAGCUAGUAGGUGGGGUAACGGCUCACCUAGGCGACGAUCCCUAGCUGGUCUGAGAGGAUGACCAGCCACACUGGAACUGAGACACGGUCCAGACUCCUACGGGAGGCAGCAGUGGGGAAUAUUGCACAAUGGGCGCAAGCCUGAUGCAGCCAUGCCGCGUGUAUGAAGAAGGCCUUCGGGUUGUAAAGUACUUUCAGCGGGGAGGAAGGGAGUAAAGUUAAUACCUUGGCUCAUUGACGUUACCCGCAGAAGAAGCACCGGCUAACUCCGUG
rnacentral:rRNA from 1 species